CACGCCGUAAACGAUGAGUGCUAGGUGUCGGGAGUCAAAUCUCGGUGCCGUAGUUAACGCAAUAAGCACUCCGCCUGGGGAGUACGUGCGCAAGCAUGAAACUCAAAGGAAUUGACGGGGACCCGCACAAGCAGCGGAGCAUGUGGUUUAAUUCGAAGCAACGCGAAGAACCUUACCAGGGCUUGACAUCCUCGGACGACACUAGAGAUAGUGUUUUCUCUUCGGAGACUGAGAGACAGGUGG
rnacentral:rRNA from 1 species